GUCUACGGCCACGCCACCCUGAACGUGCUCGAUCCCGGCUGAUCUCGGAAGCUGAGCAGGGUCGGGCCUGGUUAGUACUUGGGUGGGAGACCAGGUGCUGUAGGCA
rnacentral:rRNA from 1 species